CUACGGGGGGCUCCAGUGGGGAAUAUUGCACAAUGGGCGCAAGCCUGAUGCAGCCAUGCCGCGUGUAUGAAGAAGGCCUUCGGGUUGUAAAGUACUUUCAGCGGGGAGGAAGGGAGUAAAGCUAAUACCUUUGCUCAUUGACGUUACCCGCAGAAGAAGCACCGGCUAACUCCGUGCCAGCAGCCGCGGUAAUACGGAGGGUGCAAGCGGUAAUCGGAAUUACUGGGCGUAAAGCGCACGCAGGCGGUUUGUUAAGUCAGAUGUGAAAUCCCCGGGCUCAACCUGGGAACUGCAUCUGAUACUGGCAAGCUUGAGUCUCGUAGAGGGGGGUAGAAUUCCAGGUGUAGCGGUGAUAUGCGUAGAGAUCUGGAGGAAUACCGGUGGCGAAGGCGGCCCCCUGGACGAAGACUGACGCUCAGGUGCGAAAGCGUGGGGAGCAAACAGGAUUAGAUACCCCAGUAGUC
rnacentral:rRNA from 1 species